CACGUAGGCGGCUUUGUAAGUCUCACUGUGAAAGCCCGGGGCUCAACCCCGGGACUGCAGGGGAUACUGCGAGGCUGGAGUCAAGUAGAGGUUGGUAGAAUUCCGGGUGUAGCGGUGGAAUGCGUAGAGAUCCGGAGGAAUACCAGAGGCGAAGGCGGCCAACUGGACUUGUACUGACGCUGAGGUGCGAAAGCGUGGGGAGCGAACAGGAUUAGAUACCCUGGUAGUCCACGCCGUAAACGAUGGGCACUAGAUGCCGGAGGGAACGACCCCCUCGGUGUCGAAGCUAACGCAUUAAGUGCCCCGCCUGGGGAGUACGGCCGCAAGGCUGAA
rnacentral:rRNA from 1 species